rnacentral:tRNA from 1 species
GCAGUGGUGGUUCAGUGGUAGAAUUCUUACAUUCCAUACAAGAGACCUGGGUUCAAUUCCCGGCCAGUGCA